UACGUAGGCAGCAAGCGUUGUUCGGAGUUACUGGGCGUAAAGGGUGUGUAGGCGGUUCCUUAAGUUUGCUUGUGAAACUCUCCCGGCUUAACCGGGAGGGUGCGGUGAAUACGUGAGGACUAGGAGUACGGGAGAGGAAAGUGGGAAUUCCUGGUGUAGCGGUGGAAAUGACGUAGAUAUCAGGAGGAACACCGGUGGUGUAGACGGCUUUCUGGACCGCCACUGACGCUGAGACACGAAAGCGUGGGUAGCAAACAGG
rnacentral:rRNA from 1 species